ensembl:lncRNA novel transcript
GCGGCCGCCGUGGCGAGAAGGGCCGCGAGAUGUGAUCGGCCCAAAACUGCUGCAGCGUCUGCCACAGGCGGCUGGCAUGGCUCGUAGCCGAGCACUCGAAGGUUGCCAGGGCGUGGACCUUGUAGGGCACGCAGGUGCUCGAAGGGGAGCCUCGGGAGCGCUGGCGACUCGUGCUGCGCUCUUGUCUCGGGAGCCCGGAUGUCCAGAAUGAUGAAGGCGAGCCAGGGGGCGCUGCUGGGAGACAAGAGUCCGGAAUUUUCCAAGAAGUGCUCUGAAAGGUGGAAGACAAUGUCCGGGAAAGAGAAGUCUAAAUUUGAUGAAAUGGCAAAGACGGAUAAAGUGCACUGUGAUCGGGAAAUGAAGGGACCAGCUAAGGGAGGCAAGAAGAAGAAGGAUCCUAGUGCCCCCAAAAGGCCACCAUCUGGAUUCUUCCUGUUCUCUUCGGAAAUCCGCCCCAAGAUCAAAUCCACAAACCCUGGCAUCUCUAUUGGAGAUGUGGCAAAAAAGCUGGGUGAGAUGUGGAAUAACUUAAAUGACAGUGAAAAGCAGCCUUACAUCACUAAGACGGCAAAGCUGAAGGAGAAGUACGAGAAGGAU